AGAGUUUGAUUCUGGCUCAGAACGAACGCUGGCAGCGUGGAUUAGGCAUGCAAGUCGAACGUGAAGCCGUUGAACAAUCUUUCGGGAGAGUGAUUCGGUGGAAAGUGGCGGAAGGGUGAGUAACGCGUGGGUGAGCUGUCUCGAAGUUGGGGACAACCAGAUGAAAAUCUGGCUAAUACCGAAUGUGGUCUUCUGGCGCAUGUCAGGAUGACUAAAGGUGGGGAUUCUUCGGAACCUGCCGCUUUGAGAGGUGCCCGCGUGCCAUCAGCUUGUUGGUAGGGUAAUGGCCUACCAAGGCUUACGGCUAGCCGGCCUGAGAGGGUGAUCGGCCACACUGGGACUGAGACACUGCCCAGACUCCUACGGGAGGCUGCAGUCGAGGAUCAUUCGCAAUGCGCGAAAGCGUGACGAUGCGACGCUGCGUGGGGGAUGAAGGCCUUCGGGUCGUAAACUCCUGUCAUGAGGGAACAGUAUCCCUGUAAUUAAUAGUUGCGGGGCUCGAUGGUACCUCAAGAGGAAGCCACGGCUAACUCUGUGCCAGCAGCCGCGGUAAUACAGAGGUGGCGAGCGUUGUUCGGAUUUACUGGGCGUAAAGGGUGCGUAGGUGGUUUUGUGUGUCGGAUGUGAAAUCCCAUGGCUCAACUGUGGAAUUGCAUUCGAAACUGCGGAACUAGAGUGUAGGAUGGGAGAGCGGAAUUCUUGGUGUAGCGGUGAAAUGCGUUGAUAUCAAGAAGAACACCGGUGGCGAAGGCGGCUCUCUGGAAUGCUACUGACACUGAGGCACGAAAGCUGGGGGAGCGAACAGGAUUAGAUACCCUGGUAGUCCCAGCCGUAAACGGUGCACACUUGGUGUGGGGAGAUUUAACCCUCUCCGUGCCGGAGUUAACGCGUUAAGUGUGCCGCCUGGGGAGUACGGCCGCAAGGCUAAAACUCAAAGAAAUUGACGGGGGCCCGCACAAGCGGAGGAGCAUGUGGCUUAAUUCGAUGCAACGCGAAGAACCUUACCAGGGCUUGACAUGGGGACCCCUCGGGGGUGGUAGCGAAAGUUACCUUUACCAUCACAGGUGCUGCAUGGCUGUCGUCAGUUCGUGCCGUGAGGUGUUGGGUUAAGUCCCGUAACGAACGCAACCCUUGUGGCUAGUUGCCACCGGUGGUGAUGGCCGCCGAGCACUCUAGCCAGACUGCCCGUACAAGCGGGAGGAAGGUGGGGAUGACGUCAAGUCAGUAUGGCCCUUACGUCCUGGGCUGCACACGUGCUACAAUGGUCGGUACAGUGGGAUGCAAUACCGCGAGGUGGAGCAAAUCCCCAAAGCCGCCCUCAGUUCGGAUUGAAGUCUGCAACUCGACUUCAUGAAGUUGGAUUCGCUAGUAACGGCGCAUCAGCUACGGCGCCGUGAAUACGUUCCCGGGCCUUGUACACACCGCCCGUCACAUCAUGAAAGCCGUCUGCACCCGAAGUCGCUGAGCCAACCAUUUAUGGAGGCAGGUGCCGAAGGUGUGGGUGGUGAUUGGGAUGAAGUCGGAACAAGGUA
rnacentral:rRNA from 1 species